rnacentral:rRNA from 1 species
UCGGGAAUUUUGGGCAAUGGGCGAAAGCCUGACCCAGCAACGCCGCGUGAGGGAUGAAGUAUUUCGGUAUGUAAACCUCGAAAGAAUGGGAAGAAUAAAUGACGGUACCAUUUAUAAGCUCCGGCUAACUACGUGCCAGCAGCCGCGGUAAUACGUAGGGAGCAAGCGUUGUUCGGAUUUACUGGGCGUAAAGGGCGCGUAGGCGGCGCGGUAAGUCGCUUGUGAAAUCUCUGAGCUUAACUCAGAACGGCCAAGUGAUACUGCUGUGCUAGAGUGCGGAAGAGGCAACCGGAAUUCUUGGUGUAGCGGUGAAAUGCGUAGAUAUCAAGAGGAACACCUGAGGCGAAGGCGGGUUGCUGGGCCGACACUGACGCUGAUGCGCGAAAGCCAGGGGAGCAAACG